UCGUAGACCCGAAACCAGGUGAUCUACCCAUGUCCAGGGUGAAGUUCAGGUAACACUGAAUGGAGGCCCGAACCCACGCACGUUGAAAAGUGCGGGGAUGAGGUGUGGGUAGCGGAGAAAUUCCAAUCGAACCUGGAGAUAGCUGGUUCUCCCCGAAAUAGCUUUAGGGCUAGCCUUAAGUGUAAGAGUCUUGGAGGUAGAGCACUGAUUGGACUAGGGGUCCUCAUCGGAUUACCGAAUUCAGUCAAACUCCGAAUGCCAAUGACUUAUCCUUAGGAGUCAGACUGCGAGUGAUAAGAUCCGUAGUCAAAAGGGAAACAGCCCAGACCGCCAGCUAAGGUCCCAAAGUGUGUAUUAAGUGGAAAAGGAUGUGGAGUUGCUUAGACAACUAGGAUGUUGGCUUAGAAGCAGCCACCAUUUAAAGAGUGCGUAAUAGCUCACUAGUCGAGUGACUCUGCGCCGAAAAUGUACCGGGGCUAAAUACACCACCGAAGCUGCGGAUUGAUACCGAAUGGUAUCAGUGGUAGGGGAGCGUUCUAAGGACAGUGAAGUCAGACCGGAAGGACUGGUGGAGUGCUUAGAAGUGAGAAUGCCGGUAUGAGUAGCGAAAGACGGGUGAGAAUCCCGUCCACCGAAUGCCUAAGGUUUCCUGAGGAAGGCUCGUCCGCUCAGGGUUAGUCAGGACCUAAGCCGAGGCCGACAGGCGUAGGCGAUGGACAACAGGUUGAUAUUCCUGUACCACCUCUUUAUCGUUUGAGCAAUGGAGGGACGCAGAAGGAUAGAAGAAGCGUGCGAUUGGUUGUGCACGUCCAAGCAGUUAGGCUGAUAAGUAGGCAAAUCCGCUUAUCGUAAAGGCUGAGCUGUGAUGGGGAAGCUCCUUAUGGAGCGAAGUCUUUGAUUCCCCGCUGCCAAGAAAAGCUUCUAGCGAGAUAAAAGGUGCCUGUACCGCAAACCGACACAGGUAGGCGAGGAGAGAAUCCUAAGGUGUGCGAGAGAACUCUGGUUAAGGAACUCGGCAAAAUGACCCCGUAACUUCGGGAGAAGGGGUGCUUUCUUAACGGAAAGCCGCAGUGAAUAGGCCCAAGCGACUGUUUAGCAAAAACACAGCUCUCUGCGAAGCCGUAAGGCGAAGUAUAGGGGGUGACACCUGCCCGGUGCUGGAAGGUUAAGGAGAGGGGUUAGCGUAAGCGAAGCUCUGAACUGAAGCCCCAGUAAACGGCGGCCGUAACUAUAACGGUCCUAAGGUAGCGAAAUUCCUUGUCGGGUAAGUUCCGACCCGCACGAAAGGUGUAACGAUUUGGGCACUGUCUCAACCAGAGACUCGGUGAAAUUAUAGUACCUGUGAAGAUGCAGGUUACCCGCGACAGGACGGAAAGACCCCGUGGAGCUUUACUGUAGCCUGAUAUUGAAUUUUGGUACAGUUUGUACAGGAUAGGCGGGAGCCUUUGAAACCGGAGCGCUAGCUUCGGUGGAGGCGCUGGUGGGAUACCGCCCUGACUGUAUUGAAAUUCUAACCUACGGGUCUUAUCGACCCGGGAGACAGUGUCAGGUGGGCAGUUUGACUGGGGCGGUCGCCUCCUAAAGUGUAACGGAGGCGCCCAAAGGUUCCCUCAGAAUGGUUGGAAAUCAUUCGUAGAGUGCAAAGGCAUAAGGGAGCUUGACUGCGAGACCUACAAGUCGAGCAGGGACGAAAGUCGGGCUUAGUGAUCCGGUGGUUCCGCAUGGAAGGGCCAUCGCUCAACGGAUAAAAGCUACCCCGGGGAUAACAGGCUUAUCUCCCCCAAGAGUCCACAUCGACGGGGAGGUUUGGCACCUCGAUGUCGGCUCAUCGCAUCCUGGGGCUGUAGUCGGUCCCAAGGGUUGGGCUGUUCGCCCAUUAAAGCGGUACGCGAGCUGGGUUCAGAACGUCGUGAGACAGUUCGGUCCCUAUCCGUCGUGGGCGUAGGAAAUUUGAGAGGAGCUGUCCUUAGUACGAGAGGACCGGGAUGGACGCACCGCUGGUGUACCAGUUGUUCUGCCAAGGGCAUAGCUGGGUAGCUAUGUGCGGAAGGGAUAAGUGCUGAAAGCAUCUAAGCAUGAAGCCCCCCUCAAGAUGAGAUUUCCCAUAGCGUAAGCUAGUAAGAUCCCUGAAAGAUGAUCAGGUUGAUAGGUUCGAGGUGGAAGCAUGGUGACAUGUGGAGCUGACGAAUACUAAUAGAUCGAGGACUUAACCAU
rnacentral:rRNA from 1 species